UUCGAUUUCUUUCGCUUCGGCACCUAGUCAAUUUGAAACAUAAAGAGAAGAUUAGCAUCGCCCCUGCACUAAGGAUGACUGCUCAAUCACAGAGAACCCACCAUUUUUU
rnacentral:snRNA from 1 species